rnacentral:rRNA from 1 species
UACGUAGGGUGCAAGCGUUGUCCGGAAUCAUUGGGCGUAAAGCGCGCGUAGGUGGCUUUGUAAGUCCGUUGUGAAAGUCAAAGGCUCAACCUUUGAAUGCCGAUGGAUACUGCGGAGCUAGAGUCCGGUAGGGGCCCACGGAAUUCCUGGUGUAGCGGUGAAAUGCGCAGAUAUCAGGAGGAACACCGGUGGCGAAGGCGGUGGGCUGGGCCGGAACUGACGCUGAGGAGCGAAAGCGUGGGGAGCGAACAGG